rnacentral:rRNA from 1 species
GACGAACGCUGGCGGCGUGCUUAACACAUGCAAGUCGAGCGGUAAGGCCCUUCGGGGUACACGAGCGGCGAACGGGUGAGUAACACGUGAGUAAUCUGCCCAUCACUUCGGGAUAACUCCGGGAAACCGGUGCUAAUACCGAAUAUGACCACUUCAGGCAUCUGAUGGUGGUGGAAAGUUCCGGCGGUGAUGGAUGAGCUCGCGGCCUAUCAGCUUGUUGGUGGGGUAGUGGCCUACCAAGGCUUCGACGGGUAGCCGGCCUGAGAGGGUGACCGGCCACACUGGGACUGAGACACGGCCCAGACUCCUACGGGAGGCAGCAGUGGGGAAUAUUGGACAAUGGGCGAAAGCCUGAUCCAGCAACGCCGCGUGAGGGAUGACGGCCUUCGGGUUGUAAACCUCUUUCAGCAGGGACGAAGCGAAAGUGACGGUACCUGCAGAAGAAGCACCGGCCAACUACGUG